UACGUAGGGGGGCUAGCGUUGUCCGGAUUUAUUGGGCGUAAAGAGCGUGUAGGCGGCCAGGUAGGUCUGCUGUGAAAACUCGAGGCUCAACCUCGAGCUGUCGGCGGAAACCAUCUGGCUAGAGUCCGGAAGAGGAGAGUGGAAUUCCUGGUGUAGCGGUGAAAUGCGCAGAUAUCAGGAAGAACACCCGUGGCUAAGGCGGCUCUCUGGGACGGUACUGACGCUGAGACGCGAAAGCGUGGGGAGCGAACAGG
rnacentral:rRNA from 1 species